UAAUACGUAGGGUGCGAGCGUUAAUCGGAAUUACUGGGCGUAAAGCGUGCGCAGGCGGUGGGCUGUGUCUGUCGUGAAAGCCCCGGGCUUAACCUGGGAAUGGCGAUGGAAACUGGUCCGCUGGAGUGCGGCAGAGGGGGGUGGAAUUCCGCGUGUAGCAGUGAAAUGCGUAGAGAUGCGGAGGAACACCGAUGGCGAAGGCAGCCCCCUGGGCUGACACUGACGCUCAGGCACGAAAGCGUGGGGAGCAAACAGGAUUAGAUACCCUGGUAGUCCACGCCCUAAACCAUGUCAACUGGGUGUUGGGGAAGCGAUUCCCUAGUACCGUAGCUAACGCGUGAAGUUGACCGCCUGGGGAGUACGGCCGCAAGGUUA
rnacentral:rRNA from 1 species